rnacentral:rRNA from 1 species
UACAGAGGUGGCAAGCGUUGUUCGGAAUUACUGGGCGUAAGGGGCGCGUAGGCGGCCAUCUAAGUCAGACGUGAAAUCCCCCGGCUUAACCUGGGAACUGCGUCUGAUACUGGACGGCUUGAGUAUGGGAGAGGGAUGUAGAAUUCCAGGUGUAGCGGUGAAAUGCGUAGAUAUCAGGAGGAACACCCAUUGCGAAGGCAGCUCGCUGGGACGUUACUGACGCUGAGACGCGAAAGCGUGGGGAGCAAACAGG